rnacentral:lncRNA from 1 species
GAAGCGGUACGUGGAAUAUCAGGUCAAUUUUUGGCCCCCUCAGUUCAAGAGGGACAUGGAGGGAGAGGUUCAGGAAGGCGGUGAAGGGGCUGGGACAUCUGCUCCAUCUGGAUAUGCUGGGCAACAUGGGGUCUGAUUACCUUAAUUCCUCUCAGCAGGUUUACAGGUGACAACAAGCUGAGUGGUGCACUUGAUACAACAGAAGGAAGAGACGCCAUCCAAAGGAAUUCGGAUAGGCUUGAAAAGUGGGCCCAUGUGAACCUACUGAGGUUCAGCAAGAACAAGUGCUGCACUUGGGCUGGGGCAAUACCAGAAGAUCUCUUUGCAAGCAGCCCUGUGAAGAAGGACGCAUAGGUCAUGCUGGAGAAAAAGCUGGACAUGAACCAGCAGUGUGCUCUUACAGCCCAAAAGGUCAACAGUAUCCUGGACUGCAUAAAAAGUGGGGGGGGAGUGCAGCAAGGCAGGGAGGGGAUUGUCCCCCUCUACUCUGCCCUUGUGAUGCCCCAUCUGGAGUACUGCAUUUAGGCCUGGAGCCUCCAGCACAAGAAGGACAUGGAGUGGGUCCAGAGGAGGGCCACAAAGAUAGUUAGAGCAUUGGAGCAUCUCUCCUACAAAUAAAGAUUGAGAGAGUUGGGCUUGCUCAGUCUAGAGAAGUGGAAGGUACAGAAAGACCUCGUUGUACUUAAAAAGGAGUUUAUAAACUGAAGUUUACAUGAUUUGAGUGAUAGGACAGGGCAAAUAGUUUUAAACUAUAAGAGUGAAGAUCUAUUUUCGAUAUCAG